GGCGGCGGAAAAACCACCUUAAUUGGGGCGGAGGGUUAGUUUUAACAGCAAAGGGCCUUUACUAAAAUGGCGAAGGCCUUCCGUCGGCGUUGUUUUAAAAUGGGAAGCCUCGACCCUGUAUUGAAACUGAGCUGUUCGAAGGCGGCGUUGUGUGCAAUUCGGAUUAAUGAAGGGGAAGGGUUUUGUGUGGAAAAACGCCUUGGAGUGUGACAUUUCUGCGAGAAUGCUUAAAUACCGAUUUCCCGCAGGAACAAUGGCGCUGUCUUCAGUGGCACAGUGGAGCAGCUCUGAAGAUGCAAAGAUACACGAAAAAACUUCCAGAACAUCUGGGAGAAUAUUUAAUGGAAAAUCGCUUGGUUAAAACCUGACACUUUUAACAGUUAGUUGAAUCCAUGGACAUGAAACCCACAGAUAUAGAGGGUUGGCCCGGUGCAGUGGCUCACGCCUGUAAUCCCAGCACUUUGGGAGGCCAAGGCGGGUGGAUCACCUGAGGUCAGAAGCUUGAGACCAGCCUGGCCAACAUGGUAAAACCCCAUCUCUACUAAUAAUACAAAACAAUUUGCUGGGCAUGGUGGUGCACGCUUGUAAUCCAAGCUACUCCAGAGGCUGAGGCAGAAGAAUCGCUUGAAUCCGAGAGGCAAAGGUUGCAGUGAGCCCAGAUCACACCACUGCUCUCCAACCUGGGCAACAAGAGCAAAACUCCGUCAAAAAAAAAAGAUACAGGGUCAACUGUACACAUUAAACACUUCUAUCAACUAGUGAUGUCAGUCUUGUCCAUUGUAUUAUUGCCUAUCUUACUAAACAGUCAUAUUUCAGGAAGUACAAUAUACUCAAAAACUAAGUUAAUGUUCUUUGUAGAUUUAUGGUUAAUGGAUGAUUCAUAUAAUAGAAACUUAAAUUUAUUUGACCAUUCUAUUUAAUAUAGAAUAAAUACAACUAGCCAGGCAUGGUGGCUCAUGUCUAUAAUGCCAGCACUUGGGGAGGCCAAGGUGGGAGGCUCACUUGAGCAUAGGAAUUCAAGGCCAGCCUGGGCAACACAAUGUGAGACCCGUCUCUAUGAAAAUUUUAAAAAUUAGCCAAGCAUGGUAACACAAGUCUGUGGUCCCAGCUACUUGGGAGGCUGAGGCGCGAGAAGUCCAGGAGGUCAACGCUGCAGUGAGCUGUGUGUGUGCCACUGCAUCCUAGCCUGGGCAACAGAGCAAGACCCUGUCUCAAAAAUAAAGAAUAAAUACAACCUAUUAAGCUUGAGAGAUCCAGUGAAAUCCAAAUAAGAGAAACUGUGUCCUACACAGUUUUCUGUUAACCAUUUUCUUGGUAUUUAAAUUAUUUAUCAAAUUUUAACUUCAAUAAAAAAUUAUUCUGGAGAACACAUACCUCUAGAGUAAGUAAAGUAUACACUUUCAAUUUUUAGACAUGAGGUUUUGA
ensembl:lncRNA SNHG5 small nucleolar RNA host gene 5